rnacentral:rRNA from 1 species
UACGGGGGGAGCAAACGUUGUUCGGAAUCACUGGGCGUAAAGGGCGUGUAGGCGGCUGGAUAAGUGGGAUGUUAAAUCCCCCGGCUCAACCGGGGACCUGCAUCUCAUACUGUUCAGCUCGAGCACAUCAGAGGAGACUGGAAUUCCCGGUGUAGCGGUGAAAUGCGUAGAGAUCAUGAGGAAGACCAGUGGCGAAGGCGGGUCUCUGGACAGUUCCUGACACUGAGACACGAAGGCCAGGGGAGCAAACGGG